rnacentral:rRNA from 1 species
GAAACCGCUUUGAGUCAAACGGGUGGGACCUCGAAUCCGAUGGCGAAUCGAUUCACGUCCACUGCGGGUGUGUGAUUGGCGUUUGCGUAAUGGAGGGUUUCGGCCUUUCGUUUGCUGCGUUGAUUUGUGCACGCUUGCGGUGGGUCGGCAUUUCGUUUCGUCGGUAGGGCGUCAUGCGACCACUGAGGAGACGUUAGUAGGGCUAUUAUCGGGAGUUGGUUGCGGCAUUCGCAUUGUCUGCUGCAGCUAUAUAACCGUGUAGCUCGGGGCUAUCGAAAACUCAGUGUGGAUGUCAAAACUGGCCUUGCGUUUCGCGCGGGCAGCUUCAUCGGCAUGCUGAUUGUGGCGUUGUAUCGUGCUUGCGCGAUCAGCGUCGUAUGAUGCGAGUCGCUCUGGGGUUGUCUGCGUCGAGCAGGGUUGUCGCGGCGAGUAGGUCGGUAACCCACCCGACCCGUCUUGAAACACGGACCAAGAAGUGCAACAUAUACGCGAGUCAAUGAGCUACCUGUACCUCAAUGGCGUAAUGAAAUGUGAAUUUCACGUGUGAUCUGUAUAGUUUCAUCUAUGCAGCGCAACGCGGGCCCCUCUGGUUUGUCGCAAGACGCCGGUGGGAGCUAGAGCGUAUAUGUUGCGACCCGAAAGAUGGUGAUCUAUGCCUGGGCAAGACGAAGCCAGAGGAAACUCUGGUGGAGGUUUGAAGCGUUUCUGACGUGCAAAUCGAUCGUCUGACCUGGGUAUAGGGGCGAAAGACCAAUCGAACCAUCUAGUAGCUGGUUCCCUCCGAAGUUUCCCUCAGGAUAGCUUGUACUUAUAAAAACCAGUAUCAUCCGGUAAAGCGAAUGAUUAGAGGAAUUGGGGUCCAACGACCUCAACCUAUUCUCAAACUUUUAAUGGGUGAGAAUGUCAUCUCUCUGAUUGGAGAA